GGCAUAGCUCAACUGGUAGAGCGUCGGUCUCCAAAACCGAAGGCCGUGGGUUCGAUUCCUACUGCCC
rnacentral:tRNA from 1 species